UACGUAGGGGGCAAGCGUUGUCCGGAUUUACUGGGCGUAAAGAGCGUGUAGGCGGUCCGGUAAGUCCGCUGUGAAAGUCGGGGGCUCAACCCUCGAAUGCCGGUGGAUACUGUCGGGCCAGAGUGCGGAAGAGGCGAGUGGAAUUCCUGGUGUAGCGGUGAAAUGCGCAGAUAUCAGGAGGAACACCUAUUGCGAAGGCAGCUCGCUGGGACGUAACUGACGCUGAGACGCGAAAGCGUGGGGAGCAAACAGG
rnacentral:rRNA from 1 species